CCGGAGCUAAUACCGGAUAAGAUAUCGAACCGCAUGGUUCGAUAGUGAAAGAUGGUUUUGCUAUCACUUAUAGAUGGACCCGCGCCGUAUUAGCUAGUUGGUGAGGUAACGGCUCACCAAGGCAACGAUACGUAGCCGACCUGAGAGGGUGAUCGGCCACACUGGAACUGAGACACGGUCCAGACUCCUACGGGAGGCAGCAGCG
rnacentral:rRNA from 1 species